rnacentral:ncRNA from 1 species
AAUAGUCUAGUAGCACCUUAGAGACUAACAAAACAGAUACAUGGGAUCAUAUGGGAAUAACGCCACCGGAUCACGAGUUGGCACUGUUUACUUUGAAAAAAUUAGUUUUUCAAAGCAGGCUCAUCACUUCAGUUAGGAAUAAUGGAAUAGGACUCUAGUUCUAUUGUGUUAGUUUUCAGAACUCGGGCCAUGAUUAAGAGGGAUGGCCGGGGGCAUUCGUAUUGUGCUUCUAGAGUUGAAAUCCUUGGACCAGCACAAGAUAGACCAAAGAGAAAGCAUUUACCAAGAAUGUUUUCAUUAAUCAAGAAUGAAAGUUGGAGGUUUGAAGACGAUCGGAUACCAUUGUAGUUCUGACCAUAAAUGAUGCUGACUCACAAGCUGGCAGCAUUAUUCCCACGUGAUACCAACAUGUUUUGUUAGUCUCUAAGGU